UACAGAGGGUGCGAGCGUUAAUCGGAAUUACUGGGCGUAAAGCGUGCGUAGACGGUUAUUUAAGUCGGGUGUGAAAGCCCCGGGCUCAACCUGGGAAUUGCAUUCGAGACUGAAUAGCUAGGGUACGGUAGAGGGAAGCGGAAUUUCCGGUGUAGCGGUGAAAUGCGUAGAUAUCGGAAGGAACAUCAGUGGCGAAAGCGACUUCCUGGACCAAUACUGACGCUCAUGUGCGAAAGCGUGGGGAGCAAACAGGAUUAGAUACCCCUGUAGUCC
rnacentral:rRNA from 1 species